rnacentral:rRNA from 1 species
ACGGGAGGCAGCAGUGGGGAAUAUUGGGCAAUGGGCGCAAGCCUGACCCAGCAACGCCGCGUGAAGGAGGAAGGCUUUCGGGUUGUAAACUUCUUUUGUCAGGGAAGAGUAGAAGACUGUACCUGGCGAAUAAGCCACGGCUAACUACGUGCCAGCAGCCGCGGUAAUACGUAGGUGGCAAGCGUUGUCCGGAUUUACUGGGUGUAAAGGGCGUGUAGCCGGGUCGGUAAGUCAGAUGUGAAAUCUACGGGCUCAACUCGUAAACUGCAUUUGAAACUGACGUUCUUGAGUGUUGGAGAGGCUAACGGAACUCCUAGUGUAGCGGUGAAAUGCGUAGAUAUUAGGAAGAACACCAGUGGCGAAGGCGGUUAGCUGGACAAUAACUGACGCUGAGGCGCGAAAGCGUGGGUAGCAAACAGGAUUAGAUACCCUGGUA